rnacentral:rRNA from 1 species
AGUGAACGCUGGCGGUAGGCCUAACACAUGCAAGUCGAACGGCAGCACAGUAAGAGCUUGCUCUUACGGGUGGCGAGUGGCGGACGGGUGAGGAAUACAUCGGAAUCUACUUUUUCGUGGGGGAUAACGUAGGGAAACUUACGCUAAUACCGCAUACGACCUACGGGUGAAAGCAGGGGAUCUUCGGACCUUGCGCGAUUGAAUGAGCCGAUGUCGGAUUAGCUAGUUGGCGGGGUAAAGGCCCACCAAGGCGACGAUCCGUAGCUGGUCUGAGAGGAUGAUAGGCCACACUGGAACUGAGACACGGUCCAGACUCCUACGGGAGGCAGCAGUGGGGAAUAUUGGACAAUGGGCGCAAGCCUGAUCCAGCCAUACCGCGUGGGUGAAGAAGGCCUUCGGGUUGUAAAGCCCCUUUGUUGGGAAAGAAAAGCAGCAGGUUAAUACCCCGCUGUUCUGACGGUACCCAAAGAAUAAGCACCGGCUAACUUCGUG